rnacentral:lncRNA from 1 species
AAAUAAGUUCUCAUGAAUUUUCUUUCAUGCAGAAGCCUUCCCACGCCCCUCCUUUGUGCACCAUUUGGGUGGAUAAAGAUUGGUUGGUUGGCCAUUCAAAUUCAAAUGAUGUUUGAAUUUGAAUGGGCAACAACCCAUGCGCCACCUUAUCUAUUUGUGCGCCCCUUGCUCUACACGAGAAAAUAUUUCUCGUAUAGACUCUCCACGCACAAAGAGCCCAUGCCCCUCUCUUCUCUCACCUUGAGUGGAUAAGGAUAGGUUGGUUGGCAUUUGAAUUCAAAUUUGAUUUGAAUUCAAGUGAGCAACCACCUAGCUUUAUCCUCUCACGCGGUGAAGACACGAUAAAGAUGCGAUCUUGCACUAUUUUAAAAAGGGAAGAAAAGGUAGGGUGUGCACAUGACUUUCUGAGAGAGAAAGGGUGGCGUGAGAAAGGGCCUCUGCAUGAGAAAAGAAAAGAAAAGAAGAGAAAAGAAAAGAAGAGAGAAAGGGCGCAGGGUCAUCUGUGAGUACCCUAGGGUUUCUGCCUAGGGUUCGGGAAGUGAGAAUGUGAGCUACGAGUGUCGUGAGCCCACCAAACUUCAGGGAGUGCUUCAUCAAUCUCUCAAGUUCAUUUGCUAAUGAUCCAGAGUAUCUGAAGAGUUGGCAGAAACUGAUCGAAGGAGUUCGAUUAGCAUCGACCAUCGAAAGGGUUCUGCAACGAACUAGCAUUCGUGAGGAGCCGA